rnacentral:rRNA from 1 species
GCAGUGGUGCUGCCCCACCCUAAGUCCAACACUGAGUACGGUUGUUUGGACAUGGCCCAAGGAGGGUGAAAGGCCCGUGGGGGUGGGGACCACAGUACUGCUAUGAGUAGACCUUGGAGUCGGGUUGUUUGUGAAUGCAGCCCAAAGUGGGUGGUAAACUCCAUCCAAGGCUAAAUACUGGCACGAGUCCGAUAGCAAACAAGUACCGUGAGGGAAAGUUGAAAAGUACUUUGAAGAGAGAGUAAACAGUACGUGAAACCGUUCAGAGGUAAACGGGUGGAGUUGAACUGCAAGCUCUGAGGAUUCAGCUGGUGAGCGUGGUUUAAGGCAUGGUUAUAACGGUCGUCCGUUCGGGUUCGCUUAACUGCGGGUCUCUGCCUUCGGGUAGGGAUGCUGGGGUACUUACCAAGUACUACGCGCUCGGACGGUACACCGGGCCGGCUUGCCAGUGCACUUUCUCGGAGUAGUCACCACGACCGGCGCUGCUGCUAGGCUGCUGGUGUUAAACCUGUCGUGUAGAGUCCUUGUGGCUCUAUGCGGUGGGGACGGCAGGUGGCUCGUUGGCUUUGUCAUCGAGUGUUAUCAGCUGACACCAGUGGUACUAUGCGGUGCGUCGGAGACGGCGGCUUGUGGUGUGUACGUGUGUGCCUGUUCGCUGACAGUGCUGAGUCUGGUUGUCAUGUGCCUGUAAAAGCAGGCCUGAUGAUGGCUCGGUAUUGUUUGGUGGGCGGUGGCAUGCGGGACACCUGUAAUGAGGGCCAACAGUCUGUGGUGUAGUGGUAGACUUUCCACCCGACCCGUCUUGAAACACGGACCAAGGAGAGUAACAUGUGCGCGAGUCAAUGGGCGUUACGAAACCCAAAGGCGUAGUGAAGGUGAAUGUUCGGCUUGUCCGGACUGAGGUGAGAUCCUGGCGUUUCUCACGCGUGGUAUCGCCAUGCCCUUGAGCGUCAGGCGCAUCACCGGCCCGUCCCAUGGUGUGGAUGUUCUCCUCCGGGUGUUGCAUCCCAUCGGGGUGGAGCAUGAGCGUACAUGUUGAGACCCGAAAGAUGGUGAACU